CAGUGGCAUGUCAUCAAGAUCUACUAGUCUGGUGAUGCUGUAUCAUGUGUAUGCAGUAGGCUGGUGAGGUGGCCGGCCGGCAGUGUGCGUUUUGUUUCAUCCUGAUCCAUCGAACCAGCUCCUACUACUAACUGCUGGUGGCUUGGCUUGAAAUAUUAGUGCAUUUGAGUGCUCAGUGGAAGCAAUGAAUGGUAUAAAACUGAAGCAAUCAG